CAGUCGCCGCGGGAAUACGAAGGGUGCAAGCGUUACUCGGAAUUACUGGGCGUAAAGCGUGCGUAGGCGGUUUGUUAAGUCUGCUGUGAAAUCCCCGGGCUCAACCUGGGAAUGGCAGUGGAUACUGGCAAGCUAGAGUGUGUCAGAGGAUGGUGGAAUUCCCGGUGUAGCGGUGAAAUGCGUAGAGAUCGGGAGGAACAUCAGUGGCGAAGGCGGCCAUCUGGGACAACACUGACGCUGAGGCACGAAAGCGUGGGGAGCAAACAGGAUUAGAUACCCCUGUAGUCCCUGUCUCUUAUAC
rnacentral:rRNA from 1 species